rnacentral:rRNA from 1 species
GACAGAGGUGGCAAGCGUUGUUCGGAUUUAUUGGGUGUAAAGGGCAGGUAGGCGGCCUCGCAAGUCUGAUGUGAAAUCCCACGGCUCAACCGUGGAACUGCAUUGGAAACUGCUUGGCUUGAGUGUCGGAGAGGUGAGGGGAAUUCUCGGUGUAAGGGUGAAAUCUGUAGAUAUCGAGAGGAAUACCAGUGGCGAAGGCGCCUCACUGGCCAAACACUGACGCUGAACUGCGAAAGCAAGGGGAG